CUGGGCCUACGGACGCAGCAGUGGGGGAUAUUGCACAAUGGGGGAAACCCUGAUGCAGCGACGCCGCGUGUGGGAAGACGGUCCUCUGGAUUGUAAACCACUGUCCCCAGGGACGAAGAUGACGGUACCUGGGGAGGAAGCUCCGGCUAACUACGUGCCAGCAGCCGCGGUAAUACGUAGGUGGCAAGCGUUAUCCGGAUUUACUGGGUGUAAAGGGCGUGUAGGCGGGAGAGCAAGUCAGAUGUGAAAGCCACGGGCUC
rnacentral:rRNA from 1 species